rnacentral:rRNA from 1 species
GAGUUUGAUCCUGGCUCAGGACGAACGCUGGCGGUGUGCUUCACACAUGCAAGUCGAACGAGGUAGCAAUACCUAGUGGCGGACGGGUGAGUAACGCGUGGGAAUCUGCCUUGAGAUGGGGGAUAACGAGCCGAAAGGCUCGCUAAUACCGCAUAUGCCGAAAGGUGAAAGGAGUAAUCCGUCUUAAGAUGAGCCCGCGUCCGAUUAGCUAGUUGGUGGGGUAAAGGCCUACCAAGGCGACGAUCGGUAGCUGGUCUGAGAGGAUGAUCAGCCACAAUGGGACUGAGACACGGCCCAUACUCCUACGGGAGGCAGCAGUGGGGAAUUUUACGCAAUGGGGGAAACCCUGACGUAGCGACACCGCGUGAGCGAAGAAGCCCUUUGGGGUGUAAAGCUCUGUCAGCUGGAACGAAAAAAAUGACGGUACCAGCAGAGGAAGCAUCGGCUAACUACGUGCCAGCAGCCGCGGUA